GGGCGUGUGGUCUAGUGGUAUGAUUCUCGCUUUGGGUGACUGUUCAGUUUACUGAGCUAAUUUCACAAGCAUGCGAGAGGCCCUGGGUUCAAUUCCCAGCUCGCCCC
rnacentral:tRNA from 2 species